GAUGAACGCUGGCGGCGUGCUUAACACAUGCAAGUCGAGCGAGUGAGUUCUUCGGAACGAUCUAGCGGCGGACGGGUGAGUAACACGUGGGCAACCUGCCUCAUAGAGGGGAAUAGCCUCCCGAAAGGGAGAUUAAUACCGCAUAAAAUUAUCGAGUGGCAUCACAUGAUAAUCAAAGGAGUAAUCCGCUAUGAGAUGGGCCCGCGGCGCAUUAGCUAGUUGGUGAGGUAACGGCUCACCAAGGCGACGAUGCGUAGCCGACCUGAGAGGGUGAUCGGCCACAUUGUGACUGAGACACGGCCCAGACUCCUACGGGAGGCAGCAGUGGGGAAUAUUGCACAAUGGGGGAAACCCUGAUGCAGCAACGCCGCGUGAGUGAUGAAGGUCUUCGGAUUGUAAAGCUCUGUCUUUGGGGACGAUAAUGACGGUACCCAAGGAGGAAGCCACGGCUAACUACGUGCCAGCAGCCGCAGUAA
rnacentral:rRNA from 1 species